UUAGAUACCCUUGUAGUCCACGCCGUAAACGAUGGGUACUAGGUGUAGGAGGUAUCGACCCCUUCUGUGCCGUAGCAAACGCAAUAAGUACCCCGCCUGGGGAGUACGGCCGCAAGGUUGAAACUCCAAGGAAUUGACGGGGGCCCGCACAAGCGGCGGAGCAUGUGGUUUAAUUCGACGCAACGCGAAGAACCUUACCAGGGCUUGACAUCGAGGGAAUAACUUAGAGAUAAGUUAGUCCUCUACGGAGGACCCGAAGACAGGUGGUGCAUGGUUGUCGUCAGCUCGUGUCGUGAGAUGUUGGGUUAAGUCCCGCAACGAGCGCAACCCCUAUAUUUAGUUGCCAGCAUUAAGAUGGGCACUCUAGAGAGACUGCCGGUGACAAACCGGAGGAAGGUGGGGAUGACGUCAAAUCAUCAUGCCCCUUAUGUCCUGGGCUACACACGUGCUACAAUGGCCUGUACAGAGGGUUGCGAAGCCGUGAGGUGGAGCUAAUCCCAAAAAGCAGGUCUCAGUUCGGAUUGUAGGCUGCAACUCGCCUACAUGAAGUCGGAGUCGCUAGUAAUCGCAGGUCAGCAUACUGCGGUGAAUACGUUCCCGGGCCUUGUACACACCGCCCGUCACACCACGAAAGCUGGCAACACCCGAAACCGAUGAGCUAACCAGCAAUGGAGGCAGUCGUCUAAGGUGGGGCUGGUGAUUGGGGUG
rnacentral:rRNA from 1 species